rnacentral:lncRNA from 1 species
GCAAUUAAGCCUAAAUUUAACUUGGAAAAGUGAAUAUUUCCAACAGAUUGAGAAAUACACAUGAAAUUUAAAAUUGAAUUAAGUUUGUUUUUUCUUUAAUGAAAUUUUGUGAUAGAAGAAUCCACUUUAUAUAUCCUAUCAAUCAAACUAUCAGUGUCAUUCUCCAAAUUAAAUAUGGUAAUCGAAAUUGAAUAAAGACUUUCAAUCACGC